GAGUAACGUAGCAGUGGAAGUCCGUAGAUCCAGCUAAUGAAAACCACUUUUAACAGAUUUGCCUCUGGCUUCCUGUUACGGUAGAGGUAGAGAGGAGUGUAGGACGGCUUCCUCACAGAGGAUUUUGCUGUUGAAUCUUUUCGGUGCAUCGGUGAAGGUAAAAGAUGGCGCAUUAACCACAUCACCCCUCCACAGUUUGCCUCUGGCUUCCUGUUACGGUAGAGGUAGAGAGGAGUGUAGGACGGCUUUCUCACAGAGAAU